rnacentral:rRNA from 1 species
AACGAACGUUAGCGGCGCGCCUAACACAUGCAAGUCGCACGAGAAAGGGCUUCGGCCCCGGUACAGUGGCGCACGGGUGAGUAACACGUGGGUAAUCUGCCUUCGAGCGGGGGAUAACAUUUCGAAAGGAGUGCUAAUACCGCAUAAGACCACGGCUUCGAAAGAAGCAGCGGUCAAAGCUGGCCUCUAUACAUAAGCUAGCACUCGAGGAUGAGCCCGCGGCGCAUCAGCUAGUUGGUGAGGUAAUGGCUCACCAAGGCGAAGACGCGUAGCUGGUCUGAGAGGAUGAUCAGCCACACGGGAACUGAGACACGGUCCAGACUCCUACGGGAGGCAGCAGUGGGGAAUCUUGCGCAAUGGGCGAAAGCCUGACGCAGCGACGCCGCGUGAGUGAUGAAGGCCUUCGGGUUGUAAAGCUCUGUGGGGAGAGACGAAUAAGUGCAGGCUAAUACCCUGCAUGAUGACGGUAUCUCCUUAGCAAGCACCGGCUAACUCUGUGCCAGCCGCCGCCGUAACAC